UCAAGAGUACGUGAAACCGCUUAGGGGUUAAGCCUGAUGAACCCGAAUAUCUGAAUUGAGAAAUUCAUUACUAUAUAAUUUAAUUUAUUUAAACAAUAAAUUUUUAUUGGUAUGCACUUUUCUCAUAGUAAGACAUUGCGAUCCAUUAGAUUUUGAAUUUGUUUAUUAUAUGGCCCAAGUAAUUUAGUUUAUUCUAUCAAUAGUAUUUUUUAAAUAUUAUAUGAAUAAUAUUACAUCGGUGUCCUAAUAAACAACUGAUGGAGCUUAAUAAUCAUGCAAACAUACAUAUGUAAUGUAUCACAAUGUAUAAUAUAUUUUUAUAUUGUAUAUGUAGUGAUCGCAUGUAUUUGAUUAGCAAUGCGAUUGAUUUGGGAUACCUUCAGGACCCGUCUUGAAACACGGACCAAGAAGUCUAACAUGUGUGUAAGUCAUUGGGUAUCUUAAAUGAAACCUAAAGGCGUAAUUAAAAUAACUAUUUUAAAUGGGAUUACAAGUAAAUUUAUAUAUUUAUUUCUCCAUCCCGGGGCGUUCUAUAUUAAACAUGAUUUAAGCAAUUAGAUCCUCUGUUUAAGAGCGUACCUUGAACAUACAUGCUGUGACCCGA
rnacentral:rRNA from 1 species